UUAUACACUAUAUUACAAUAUUGCAUAUAUGCCCCCUACGCCGUUUUACACUAUUGUAAAUUGAAAUAUUUAUUACUUGAGUUCGUAUUAUUCGUAUCGUGUUUGCUGUUCCGAUAGAUAUUAGAUACUAGAUAGUUAAUAAUUGUAUUGCACUAUUGCAUCAACCGUAUACUCUUGUUUUCAUUGUUUAAAUUGUUUUAAAUUGUAAUAUAAUGAGUGAUUGUGAUUCUUCAACCGAAGUCGAUCACGUAGCAGAUUUAGAAGAACCAAUUUUACCAUGGCAAAAUUAUCAAAAAUAUUUCUAAGUAUUAUGAAAUAUGAUUCAUUGAGGUAAAUAUUUUUUACCAGAAGCAGAAAGGGAAGUUCUUAAGUUGUGUCGAUACAAAGUGUGACAAGGUAGAUUCACGUUCAAACUCUAAUAUAUGAAAACAUUUAAGCGUAAGUAAAAUGUUAAUUUCAUACUUGCCUAUGACAGUUGACCCAUCUAAUAUCUUGUUUGUAAAAUUCAUUUUAAAUACCACACAAACACCUAAUAUAUUACAAAAAUACAUCAAUAACAGUGGCGCACAGCUUUUUAAAAGUCAAAUUUCAAGUGCUUAAGAUGUAUCAUAGAUCUCAUUAUUCUAUAUUAUGUAUUUUCAUGGGCCCCCAUACGAGUCAUCUCAGAGCCCAGAGCGGCCCAGUAUUCUAGUGUAUAUGAAAUAAAAUAAAAUAAAUAACCCCCUGUCCCCUCAAAAAUAAAUCCCAGUUGCGCCACUGAUCAAAAAAUGUAAAUUAUUUAUCAAAACUUAUAAUGUUAAGUAAAAGGUUAUAUUAUUUCAUUUUUUAUACAGAUACAACAGUCAACUCUAUUAGAGAAAAUUGAUCACAUUGAUAAUGCAGCGAACAAAAACACUUUAAAGAGAUGCAAUGAUGGAUCAUUGAAUCAUAAUGCUGGUAGUUCUUUAGAACAACCAGUUUUAGAAGAUUUUUUGAAGAACAAAACAUGAACUAGUCAAAUUGCAACAUUAACAAAAGUAGUUGAUAUUUACAUGACUGCAUGACUAUAUACUGAUACAUUGAUAGUGAACGAUACAGUUGUUGAUGAUUUAGAAGGAAUUGACGCAAUCAACUUGAACAUUCUAAAUAAUGAAGACCAUGAUUUGCCAUAUGCAUUACCAAAACACCAUCAAUGUUGUGCACACACAAUAAAUUUAAUAGCAACAAUGGACUCUAAAAAGCUAUCUUGCAUACAAAAAAACAGUCAUAAAGCACUUUUGCCAAGUCUACCGCUUUGUGGAAUCAACAAGGUUACUCAACCAAGUCAGCUGAUUUAUUUAAACAAAAUCUUGGUGUUUAUUUAAUUACACUUAACGAGACACGUUGGAAUUCACUGUAUGAUGCAGUGGUGCUGCUUAAUAAAUAAAUUAAAAACAAUGAACUUAAGUUUAGAAUAAUAAUGGACAAAUUAGCUAUUGACAGAUUUAAUAGAAGUGAUAUUUAUUUCAUUUGUCAAUGUCAAACAAUUAUGGGGCCAAUUUCAAUAAGCUUGGAUUUACUCCAGGGUGAUACUAACAUGUACUAAUUGUACUUAGGUCAUCUUCUACCUACAAUUAAAGUAUUAAUUUAUAAAUAUGAAUUACUGACAAGUGCACAAACAGUUUCUAAUUAUUUGAAACCUCUGGUGACUGCUAUACUUAAUGGUAUGAAAACAAGGUUUGCCAAUUAUUUGAUAGACAAAUUUUUAAUUACUGCUGCAGUCUGCCACCCACUAUUUAAAAAAGCAUGGAUUACAAAUGAUAUAAAAAAGCAAUUGGCCU